GAUGAAGAACGCAGCGAAAUGCGAUACGUAGUGUGAAUUGCAGAAUUCAGUGAAUCAUCGAAUCUUUGAACGCACAUUGCACCUCUCGGUAUUCCGGGAGGUAUGCCUGUUCGAGCGUCAUUUGUACCCUCAAGCUCUGUUUGGUGUUGGGUGUUUGUUCCGCCUCUGUGUGUGAACUCGCCUCAAAACAAUUGGCAGCCGGCGUACUUGUUUCGGAGCGCAGCACAUUUUGCGAUCCAGAUCAACGUACAGCGGCAUCCAAGAAGCCUUAUUUAACGCUCUUGACCUCGGAUCAGGUAGGGAUACCCGCUGAACUUAAGCAUAUCAAUAAGCGGAGGA
rnacentral:misc_RNA from 1 species